ACCUAACACAUGCAGUCGACGAGACCUUCGGGUCUAGUGGCGCACGGGUGCGUAACGCGUGGGAACCUGCCCCUUGGUUCGGAUAACAGUUAGAAAUGACUGCUAAUACCGGAUGAUGACUUCGGUCCAAAGAUUUAUCGCCGAGGGAUGGGCCCGCGUAGGAUUAGCUAGUUGGUGGGGUAAUGGCCUACCAAGGCGACGAUCCUUAGCUGGUCUGAGAGGAUGAUCAGCCACACUGGGACUGAGACACGGCCCAGACUCCUACGGGAGGCAGCAGUGGGAAUAUUGGACAAUGGGCGAAAGCCUGAUCCAGCAAUGCCGCGUGAGUGAUGAAGGCCUUUAGGGUUGUAAAGCUCUUUUACCCGGGAUGAUAAUGACAGUACCGGGAGAAUAAGCUCCGGCUAACUCCGUG
rnacentral:rRNA from 1 species